GAAAAGAGAGUAGGAGUGAAGUCUAUCGAGGGGGGAGUUCUAGUAGUAGAAGCAGCAACGACUACCUUUGACAGAAUGGAAUGGUGAGCAGUCGUGAGACUGCUUUAUUUAUUGUUGUAUUCGAAAUCGAGGAGAGACUUGGUGUCUUUUCUACAGUAAGUGGAUCUUGGUUAAUUCGUCAAUGUUUUAAACAACAUAUUACCGUAGACCCACGUUAAUCGUAGAUAGCCACAGCCUCUUGUUUUUCCCCAGUCUUUCUUUAGACCUCUCCCAAUAAAACAGUUUUCCAAUUCCUAAGUAAAAAAAAAAGAAAAACCGACAAAAAAAAUAUACUUAAACGACCUUAUUUACACGAUCGGAUCAUCUCAAGUGGUGUAAAAAAAAUUAACAUCAACCAACUCAAAACUCGAUAAAACAACAUAAAAUCUAUUUUAUUAAUUUGGCAUUUAUUUAUUUAAAUUUAACUAUGAUAAGAACAUAAAUAGAGGUGCUUCGGGGACACACUCAUCGUUUCUUUCCAUUUUCAUUGACCUCUAGUUUUUAUUCCCUCACAGAAAUUAGAUAUUUGGGUCUCUCUAACUUGACAUAGAUUCUAUGUAUAUCCGUGUACGAAGCAGAGAAAACACCGCAGGAAACUACCAUUUAUUAUUCAUUUUUUUCAGAAUAAUUUUUUUUAAAUGAUGAAUUUUCCAAUCGUUAUCUUUGUGUUUUGUGAAGUGUCCAUAAUUUGUUUAGAGAUCGAAUCUAAAAUUAACUUAAGGAGACGGUUGUAGUAGUGUUCUUGUUCCUAUAACUACUACUAAUACUGCACCUGACCUAAAUGUCUGUGGUUCCAUCCAAAGAGAAGAGAUUCUCACUGGCUGAACUAAGGUAUCAGACCUACUUGGAAUGGGGGGUGGCAGCAGCUCUUAUAGUUGCUGGAUUUAAACGAAAUCGGUUCGGAUUCGGUUUCAUUCUGUGAGUCUCACCUGCUGUAUUCUUCAUGUGAAGUUAACAAACUCCAGAGCCAGAACAAGUUACCUACAUUAAUGUCAAGGCCACAAUGUACUUUGAUGGCAGCUUUUAAUUACAACGCUAACCCAAACCGUUUCACAUCCAUCUGCUUUUGAACACCUGGGCUGUUUCGGUCAUAUAAUCAAAUCACCAUAUUUCAAUCGACCUUUUUAAAGUGCUUUCCAAGAUUUCCGGUUGUUCUAAAGAGAAACCCCGAUUUAUUUUUUAAUUAACUUAUGUUUGUUUUCUUCAGUUUCAUUUAAAUCAAUUUUUGUUUUGUUUUCUUUAAAAAAAAACCCCAACAAAUAUACUAGAUUUCCGCCGCCCUUUCUCCGUCGUGUUCCAUAAAAUAUUAACAUUUAUUUCACUCUGACAAAUAAUCUGCUUCACUCACACUCGGGUCUUUUCUAAAGAUCUACCUACAUCUAUCUCUUCCUCCUCCUCCACUUCGUACAUGGCAACAACGUUCAAUAAUAUAUUUCUGUCGUUCUUCCCGACACAAUCGAAGAAUUUCUCUGUUUCAAACACAUUCGGAAAUGUCUGAAUUAGUAAGAAGGUGUUGUUUGGACACUGUCUGCUUUCUUCUCUCCACCACUUGCUGUCUGUCUGUUCAGACAUAAUCAGUCUUCCCCGAUCUUGCUUUAUUGUCAUCACGUGUAUCACCAGCAGACACUCGACAUAGAAAGAGGCCGAUAUCUCAGAUUCCGUUGGUUGAGCGCUUUACACUAAGAGGCAGAUUUUCAAUGGCCAGCUGCCCUUCCUGUGGCCAACCCUCAUGUGGGGCCAAGCAAGGUAAUAUUUCCCCUUCACAAGAUUGUUUGUAUGAUGGCCAAACUUAUUUACAACCAUCACAUGAUAUCUAAACAAAAGUACCACACAAACACACACAUGAUGGGUUUCUUUCAGUUUCCAUCUAUCGAAUCCACUUCCAAGGCUUUGCUUGGCCCAGAGCUAUAGUAGAAGACACUUGCCCAAGGUGCUGUACCAUAAACACGGUUUUGGUUUGCUAUAGUAGAAGACACUGGCCCAAGGUGCCUCAAGGUAUGUGAAUGCACUGUAUUUGCUUAAUAUCAAAAUAUUAGACAUUUACUGAACUACAUAUUAAUCUCAUGCAUUAAAUUAAAUUAAAAUAUUUUAAUAACGAAUUGAGAAUCAUUUACUCUAUAUAUUUAAUAAUGAGGGUUGGUGCUAUGCAUAAGGCAAAUCAGGCUGUCACCAGGGGGUACAGCACAAAUUCUGAACAACUUCAAAAAUUUCUUCAUCUAAUUAAAAACAAGAAAGCUUAAUUAUGAAGAGAAUGGGUGAGGUUGUCCCGGAACAGAUGGGUAGGGUGGGAUGAGAUAAGAAGCCUAUGUGGUGUUAUAAACUGUCACAUGGUUUGUUUUGAAACAUUUCAAAUUCUACCAGAUAUCAGAUUAAUUUGAUGAUGUGCAGGAUCAUAAAAUUAUAAAUUAUGUAAAGAGGGUGGUGGCUGGAGGAAUAUGUAGAAAAAAAAAACUGGAAAAGGAAGCACAUUUUAUAGGGAUGAAUGAGUAGGGUGCACAUUAUAGGGAUGAAAGAAAGGGGUGUGUACUUUAGGGUAGGAGAGGAGUAUGCACUUUAUGGAGUUGGGAGAACACAAUGAAGGACUAGGAGAAAAGGUCAUAUAUUCAAGAGCUUGGGGACUAGGAGGGGGUGCAUACUGUCAGGCUGGGAGAAGAGGGUGCAUAUAGAGCUAGGAAAAUGGAGCACACAUUGCAGGGCUGAGAGAGAAAAUGCAGAUUAUAGGGCAUAGGGCUUGGAGAAGGAGGAUGUGGAAUAUCAAGACAGGAACCCUGCUAAUAAUUAGUAUUUUACAUUUAGACUCUGAAGGGACCUGCUUUGUUGUUUUGGAAACAGAUUUUCAUCUGUCAACUCUGCUUAAUUCUUAAAUGAUUGACCACUUUGGAAAGCCAGUAAGAUAGAUAUGUAGAAUAUCACAAAAUGCUUUGUGGUAUUUAGUUACAUCCCUGUAUAACAAGAGCAAAUGAGAGCUAUGUUGUUACUUGACUUGCUAGAAAUAACAGCCAGCUCUCUUGUAUACGACAUUCUACUAUCUUAAAGAUAGAAGGGCAAAAUGGACAACUUCAUCUUUGGUUUGUGAAAAAGAUGAGAUGACUGUUCAUCACAGGGCUGACUUAGGGCUAAAUACGCCAGCAAACUUAGUUUAACCCUAGUUGCCAUCAAUGAUUCUAUCUUCCAUUUCUCUAGAGUCAAUAAGUACCAGUUAUAUAUUGGUGUUCAUUCAAAAAUCUUUACCUUGUCCCCUCAAUUUAUGUCCUUGUGCCCGUGCAAAAAAAUAAAGAAUAUUUGACAGCCUCUGCUUCUUAGAACUGGCUGCUUUUGUACUUCUUCCACCCAAACCCCUGUAACCUGUUAGUCUCUCCACCUCUCUUCACCCUUGUUGCAUCCUAUUCCCUAAAAAUAACCAAUUACAUCAUCGAAAUCUUGAAGCUAUGAAAUAAUGCAUGAUCAAUUGAAAACAAUAUGAAUAAAUAAGCAUUACAUUUGAAAAAGUAAUCUGAAUGCUAAAGGAUUGAAGUAACAUAGGACCUCCCAUCAAAAUUUCAUGCUAAUUUAUGCUCCAAACCCCAACUAAAAAGGAUUAAUUGAAACAAAAGUUAUGCAUUUCAAAAGAAAUAACGUAAUAAAAAGGUUGAUUUGAAAACCUAGUUUUGUUUAACUUUCCCUGCAAAGUGCACAAUUCUUGAUUCAAUCUCCAGUGCUUCUGUAAUCUUUUGAACUCUUUUGAUACCAACUUACUUGAGACCCUCCCCCCCUGAUUCUAUGCGAUAAGUUUCUGGUUUUAGAGUGGCCUCAGUUAAAACUUACUAGAAAAUUUCAUGUUAAUUUAUUCUGGUCAUCAGCUUAACAACAACAAAGUUAUUCCACUAUAUUCUUCGUUAUUUUCAAAAUUAAUUCAAACAAAUGCAGUGUGUUGCAACAAAAAAUAUGGAAAUAAAAGUUAAGGGUUUAAAGAUGGCUUGACAAACUUUUAUUUUUCAUGUUUCUAGCUGAAGGAGUGUCACUGUCAUUUAGCUUCUAGUGAAGAGGAUGCUUGAAUUACACCAAAGUAAUUUAGCCUCCAAAUAAACCACUUAUGUCGCUUAAUUUAGUAAUGUAUAAUAUAAGAUAAAUAAUUAACAGUCAUCAUCAUUUUACAUCUGCUUUUCAUGCUAGAAUGAAUGGGUCAUUAUGGCCCAAAUCAGUUCUUAUUUGGAGACAGACUGGAGAGCCAUGUCUCGUUCAUAUAUUCCAUUGUGACACAGUUUACCAGCUGGAUACCAUUCUUAACACUAAACAGGUUACAGUGUACUGGACGAAUUUUAUUGUGGCACCAGCUCUAGUGAGGUUAUCAUGCCUUUAGACAUAUUAAAGGAUCCUUUCAAUUCUACAUUGUCCCCACUCAUUUGUUAACCACUGAACACAGUUUGCUGGAUGCAUUUUAUUGUGGCACCAGCACUAGUGAGGUUGUUUUCUACCCUGUUACCCUGAAGAGUUUUCACUACUCUAUGGUAUCACUGUACACUGAACAUAACAUGAUCAGAACAGUGAACAGAAGUGAACAUUAACAGAACUAGGGGGAGUAGGUGAGAGAAACAGUAAUAAGUGUGAGAGGGUGGUAGUUGAGGGAGUAAUAGAAGAGAGAAAGAGAGUAAAAGUGAUGGCAGCUACAUAUCUGUUGGUGAAAAAGAGUGAACAAGGGAUAUCAAUAAUUAAAGUCUGGGAGAGACUGCCCAAAGUAUCACAUAGUAGAAUUGAACCUGAAACCAUAUGGUUAGCAAGAUUCUUACCACACAGCCAUGCCCGUCUCUGUCCCACUAAAUGUCACCCUCCUCUUUUAUCACCCAUUCUGUGUCACUCAUCGUAGACCCCAACCGUUUUUUUUUUAUCCAGUCCUUCUUCCCCUAGGGCAUCAAGCCCUUGUAAUUUUCUGCCUAUCCACAAUAUUUCUCCUCAAGUAUCAACUUGAAGCUAUUCAAGUUAAACACCAAUUCCAUCAGUCUGACCAGCCGUUGAAGAUCCGAGUUAGUCAUCGGUAGACUUUGCUCAUGAUCUCAACAAAAAAAGGAAAAGAGGAGAUGCUGUAAUAUAUGAAUGUCUACAACUACUUUGUCUUCCUUUUCACCAACCUUAGGCAUUAAUCGAAUAAAUAGAGAGGUUGAGAAAAGACGGUGGAUAAUAGAGUGCGGACAGCUAAAUAGUGUACAAGUUAUUUAGUAACAAUCAGAGUUUAAUUCCAACUGUCAACUUUGCUUUUUCACUAAUUUGUUCGUCAUUGAUGAAACAAACUUACCAGUCGAAUAAUUGAGUUGGUAUAAAAUGUAGCUUUGAGUCUCGACAAUUCCUAACAUAGGCAAAGGGCCAUUUAUUUUUGAGAAGUUAGUGAAUAAAUCGACUCCGGUAAUUUGACUGUUAUUUUAUUUUAUUGACACGGGAGUGGUAAAAUGCAAAAAUCAACCCCCAAAAGAAUCGUAAACAGACCAAGGACUAAGUAACAACCACAAGCCCUCUGUGUUCAACAACAUUGAACCAAUCGACUGGUUUGAUGCUCCACUGAUUCUACAAAUCGACGACUCUGAUAACAAUAAUUAUUUUAACAAGGAAGUUAUUCGUGUUCUAUUUUUUUAGCGCUACUCAAUUGGAUAGUUUUUCUAAAGUAAUGUUUCCCUCCACACAACUUCAACAAACAAAGCAACUUUGGUAAGUGUGAAUGUUCACAGGAUCCAGAUAUAGCUCUGUUUGUGCGCCAACACCAACAUUGCAGUCAGGUGUCAACAGUCUGAAUGUAGUAAGGUACCAAUCAUGGCUAGAGUGAAAUAAAAUACCAAUAGUCGUAAUGUAACUGCCAACACUUCUUAAUGUAGUAAGGUGCUAAUGUAGCUAUAUAGUGUAAAUAAAAUACCAGGAAAGGCAUAGUGUAACGUAGUAAGGUACCAACACAAGUCAGUUUCAAUGUUGUAAGGUACUAAACACAGGUAUAAUGUAAUAAACAAUCAACACAGGUAUAAUGUAAUCAGGUGCCAAUAUAUUUCUAAUGUAUUGAGAUACUAACAUAAGUGCAAUAAAAAUAUCAACGCAGUCUUCAUGUAAAAAGGUACCAAGACAGUUUUAAUAUCAAAAGGUACUAACACAACUAUGAAAGUAGGAUCCGAUGAAAGCUUUUCAACGGACUGUAAUGGCACAUGUGAGUUCCCGCUGUAUUUCUAUUUAAUAUGUAAAACGUUUCUUUCGACCAUAUUACAAUUAUAAUGUAGGUAGAUGCCAACCAACAGCUUUAAUAUUAUGAUUGUAAGGUUAAGUAGUAGAUUUAAUCCGUCAUCGGCUUUAAAUGAACAACAGGGCCAUUUGGGUAUCUUUAGUAUAAUAUAUUUUAUUAGAGGUAAUCGUACCAGGUCUUCUGUUUGAGGAUAUCACGUUCCUUUCCUUCACUGAAAAGGACCGGGGUCGCGGCCCAUGAGUAAAUAAAACAAAAGGUGAAAGUUAAACCAAUAUUGUUCUAAUGUGUUACGAAGGUCGAUGAGAUUUAAUGCGUUAAAAAGUCCAGCCGGGAGAGGUUAACGUAACAAAGGUCAAUUGACAACGGAUUGGAGGCUUCCGUGGACCUACCACGGAUCAUUUGGAAUGAGGUUAAGAUCCAGAGAGGAAGGAAAAAGACAAAAUAGCUCGGUUACAUAACGGAUGUCGACAGGAAAAAAAAACCCAGUGUUGUUAUUAUAGUAGUAAUAGCAGUAGCAGUGGUGGUAGCAGUCAGUGAUUGUUGUUGUUUAGAGUAAACCUACGGUUAAAGGUAUUCCAACCACGACUAUCUCAUCUUUUUUUAAAGUUAUUUUGGACGUUUCUAUUAAUUAAUGUGUCCUGUCGUUAUAUAAGACGGGUCGGGUGAGAUUUUAAAGUUUAACUGCUAUUUCUAGUAGAACGGACGACUGCGCACCCUCACGAGAUCGACAAUGAUGGUAGUAGUCACAGUAGUGAUGGUGGUAGUGGUGGUUGUAGUCACAGUGGUAGUGAUAGUUACAGUAGCAGCAGUGGAGUAACAGGAAUAGUUAUAGUGGAUGUAGUAGUAGUAGUAACAAAAUAGUAGUGGUAGGAGUAGUAACGUAAUGCUGGAGCAAGCAGCAGCAGCAACAGCAGAGACGUGGUCGUGGUAGAAGUAGGUAUAACUGACGUGGUAGCGGAAAAUUCAGUAUCCAGAAGCAUACAUUGUAUAAAGGAGGAAGAGAGAGAAAGUAGAAGGGAAGGAUAGAGCGGGAGUAUGAGAGAACUCCCUGUCCCUCCUACCACUACACUACGCUAAACCACAAGGAAGCCUCUACAUGGUCUAUCAGCCUGCUAGAAAUAACAGCCAAUUUCCCCGCGAUCAUAUCUUGAUGUUAUAAAAAAAAACGAAAAUAUGCGAUGGUCGUAUUUGGAACAUCUUUGAUCAUAGACUUACCAGGGGCUAAACAACACAAAGGAUUUCGCCACAAUAUUUCACUACAACUACCAACAAUAUAAUCCAAAUAUUACCUAGCACUUGCCAAGGACUAAAUCUAUUCACCUUAUUUUGUUUGUUUCUCUUUUCUUUUAUUUAAUGUUCCAGUUCAGUGUUUUGUGCGGAUAAUUCUGUAAAAUCGAUUUUGAUUUCAUUAAAAUUGGAUGUCCCACCGAA